rnacentral:lncRNA from 1 species
UAUCACAUAAUUUCACAUAUAAAUACAACUUGAAGCUAUACAACUAAUUGCAAUUAAAUAACCACAAACAAAAAAUUGAAUAACUUGCUUCUAAUCCAAAACAAUACCACCAAAAACAAAAAUAUGAACAAUUUAUUAUCAUUCAAUCACUAUAUAAAGCUACAAAUCAAAAUUCAUACAAAAUAAAAAAGAAAUCAUAAAAAAAAAACUUACCUUUCUUCAACAAAUGGAGGCACCUACAAAUUGAUCCCAAAGCUUUAACCACUUGCUUGGAACAAUGCUUCUAAUCCAAAACAACACCACCAAAAAUAAAGAACGUGAGCAAUUUAUUAUCAUUCAUACAACACAAAAAUGAAAUCAUCAAAAUAAAACAUACCUUUCUUCAAGAAAUGGAGGUAGAAAAUUAUCCCAAAGCUUUAACCACACCUAGGGACACUUGCUUGGAACAAUGAGGGGAGAAAUUUGCUUGAAAGAAGCUGAUUGAAGAAGAAAAUCGGAAAUAUGGUGAAGGAACUCGAAGCAAACAGAAAGGGAAAUGAAGAGGAACUGUAAUCUGCGUGUUUUUUUUUUUUAUCUGCGAUCAUCAAUAGCGGCGACACUAUUAGCGGCGACGCGAGGAUCAAUACCGGCGACAAUUGUUAAUAGCGGCGACAAACUGGAGGGAAGGGUACCGCGUCAUUUUUAUCAGACAAUUAGCGGCGACUUUUUUAGGGUUUUAGCGGCGACAUGCGUGUCGCCGGUAUUAGGUUAAACCGGAUAAGGCACCCCACCCGUUGGAUUGGCUAUCUCAUCGAACGGUUGAGAUGCAAUGUAGGGGGAAAGUGCGGAUUCGGGUGUCAACCCUUUAGCGGC